UCUGUUGCUCAGAGUGCAGUGGUGCGAUCUCAGCUCACCGGAAGCUCCUCCUCCCAGGCUCAAGCGAUUCUCCUGCCUCAGCCGCUGACUAGCCGGGAACAAUGUGGAUUCUUUAGAGGCCAGUUCUCAGGAAGAUGAGGAGAGUUUAGAUCCUAAAUACAUUUGCAGUACCUGAGACAUCUGUUCUUCCCUUUUAUUGCUGAAAUUCAGACUAGACCCGAGACCUUGUUUCUAUGGAUGCAGCAGUUGUUGUCAGAGUUAUUUCAACUACAAACAGACUUUUCAAUUCUCAUGCUUUUGUGCAGGCUUCAUACUUUUAAGCCUUAUCUUGAGCUUUUCUUCUUUGGUCUUUGAUCUUAUGCCAGGAAAAUCUUAAAAGGCAAAGUGAAUUUGUGGCGUUUGCUCAUUUUUAACUUUGCAAUUCCAAGACAGAAACAUCAAGAAGCAUCAAAAACCUUUACCCUGGCUAAAGUGGCAGUCACCAACUGCAGAAACACAUGCAAUAUGAGCUUACUUUCCUUAUGAUUGCAUAUGUGUGUGCGCACUUCUGAUGUCAUGUCUAUAUUUCUGCUGGUGGAAACUUUAAAACUGGAAGAUAAUGUGGAGGCAGAGAAAGAAACUGCUACUUUUAAAAGACAAGAGUUGCAAAUUUUAGCUCGUGCAAAUUUUUGAAGGAGGCUAGUGCUGAUGAUGCUUUUUUGAUGUAAAGUUUCUAUAGAAGCAACAAAAUAUAUUUUAUAUAAAGGAAACCCUUCUGCAACUUCUUUUGAUAAUGUUUUAAAAUUGCUACUGAAGGUGUUAGGAAUAACAAAGAAUAUCAGUUGGAUAUAUCAUACCCAACUAACACAACGAGUGUAGCUGGGAAUGAGAGAAGUUUGCAAAGGAAUAUGAAUCUGAUAUCUGGAGAUUAAAUUUUGUUACAAGGCUCUGUCAAUGAAAUUUCUAUCUGCUGAGAACUGCUUCCAGACUGCCUGUGGAGAAAAUGUCUUAUAAGGCACAAGCAAAUUCAUAUUUAAAGAAACAAAAAAGCAGCUUUUCUUUCUUUAUCAUAAAUUUAAUGUGAAGACCAUUCAUUAUGUUCCAAAUGUUGAUUAUGGGAAGCUCUGUUUAUUCCAGAUGAGAAAAGUGACCACACACUUGAAAGCCAAUGGUGUGGGGUGCUGUGUGCAUAUAUAUGUGUGUGUAUGCACUCCUGAGCCAGAACAGCCACACUAGCAGCAUCUAAGUACCUCCGCUCAACCAGUUAAACCUACUCUGCACAGUUUAACCAUCAUCCUGGGGAUUUGUGAGAAGCAGUACUGUGUCUAAUAAAUACUGGCCAUAAACCGAAUUCUUCCUGAAAUUCUGAAAGGUUGCUAAUCAUGCUCCCAGGAUUAUGGUCCAGAAUGGCUGUCAUGUUGCUUACAUAAGGCAUAGGCGUGAUGUGGACACUGACUAUUGAAUUCUACCUGUGAGAGUUGCAGAUACCGGAAUGAAAUCACUGUUUUUCCAGAUCCAAACAACCCAGAGCUGGGAGAACACAAAAGAGGAGAGUUCGUGCUUGCAUAUCUGGAAUAAAGACUGCUUCAAGGACUAUCUAAAAUAAGGCAUAAGAAUUUCUUCUUUAGGAGUGCAGCAAUUCAGAUAAGAUGCUCUCGAAAGAACACCUGCCCACUAAUGGCAUCUCUGCCAAUGAACUCAUGCCAAUUAUUGCUUUCAGUCUCUAAAACCAAGAACGCUGUUUCCAAGCAACUUAUGAGAACUUCUCCUUUGCCAAUAGAAGUUUCCCUUUACUCUCCCCUUUUCAGAUGUAUAUGUGACUUACCAUAGCUGUGCAUAUGGGGUUAUAAUCUACUUUUCUAAUUCCUGAAUAAAUUAAACAUAUUUGGAAUACUUCUCCCUAAUUUUUUUAAUUGGCAUACCCUAGAACAAAAAUAAGCUAUUUCUAUAUUAGAUAAGAAGAUUACUGCUUCUGUAUUUUUACAACUAUGAGGUUGUAUUUGCAAGAAAGGUAUCAUAGUUAUUUUUAUAUAAGAUGGAUCAAAGAUUAAAUGAAGCUAAGAUGCACUUGAGAGACUGUAGAAUCCACUGAGUAGCAGAAAAGUCUAUUUAUCUUUUUCUUCUUCAGCUAUCUCAAAAGUACAAAAAGUUUAUGCCUCUUUGCUCAAACCUAGUAGUCAAUAUCAUACGAAAGGAUUUUGUUGAUAUAAUUCAUGUCCCUGAAUUAUGACAUUAAUCCUCUAGGUGCAUAUAGACUAAGAAUAAAAUCAAGGGAUUAAAAGAUCAACUAUACAAGUUUUACACAUAAAUAUAAUAUAAGCUCAUAAACAAAGUGUAUAAAAUUAAAAUAUUAAUUAUAUAAACCAAAUCUAUUUGAUCCCCAGUAGAAUGGAGUAAAUAAAAAGAUACAUAAAACCACAUGAUAGUACAUAAAUUUCAUCCCAGAUAUUUUAUUGAGAAUGAAGAAGAAAGAUAUAUAGCCUAAAAUGUAGAUUUUUUUUAGCAUGGUUUGAACAAGUAGAAAGGAAAGAAAAAGAUAAUUAAAAGCCAAAGCAGAUGACCAUGCUACUGGGGCAACACUGAAGCCGAGAACCAUGCUUGAGCUCUUGAGACAGGCAGACAUGUGGGUGCGGUAAAUGGUGAAUGCUGAAGUUCUAAGGAAUGGUGACUCAGGAAGUGAAAGUCAAGAGGAGAAUUGUAGGAUCAAGAAGGUAUUUACACAGGACCAGAUGUAGAUGAAAAUACUUUUGUAAGUUGACUCUCAACAACAACAAACUAAAGUAUAUAAAUCUUGUUGUGUAUACAACAUGCAACGAAAAAAAUCAGAUAAAUGUUUAAAGAUAAAGGAUGUUUAUUAAGGUUCUUAUAAUCACAAAUGUUAUAAAUAGAUAAAUUCUCCAACAGUCUAUUGUUUGGUAAAAUAAGUCACGGCACUGUUAAACGUUGAAAUAACUAGUAGCAAUUAAAAUAGUAUAGGUUCUAUCUUCACUAAUGUGGACAAAUGUUCACAAUGUUUAUAUGCUAUGAAGGCAGACACAAAAGACACUGAAAGCACAACCCAGCAAAUAUGGUAGAUCUAAAUUACACAUACACACACAGGCACACAUGCACACACACACACACAUAGAAAAAUCCGGAGAAAUAAAUUUUUGUAAUAGGUCUCUGAGAUACUGGGAUGAAAGGUCGUUACUUUUUUUCUUUUGGUUAUGUUUUGUAAGUUACUACUUACAUUGACAAUGUAUUGAUUUUAUCACCAGAAAAUAAGAGAAAAGGAAGGAUGUGUCAAUGUAAAGCCACUGGUUAGAAUGAAAGAUGGAGAUGGGAAGGUAAGCAUAUGGUCAGAGCUUUUGAAAUUUUCAGAUACUGCAUCAUGGGGAGCAAAUAAUCUGCUUAUUUGCUAUUAUUUUCCCUUCCUUGGGAGCAUUAGAACUAUUAAAAUGGUUGAGAAGAAUAUAAGCCUGAAUUGUAAAAAAAAAAAAAAAAAAAAA